rnacentral:rRNA from 1 species
AUUGAACGCUGGCGGCAGGCCUAACACAUGCAAGUCGAGCGGAUAAAGGGAGCUUGCUCCUGGAGUGAGCGGCGGGGGGGUGAGUAAUACCUAGGAAUGUGCCUGCGAGGGGGGGAAAGCGGCGGGAGACGUGCGCUAAUAGCACAUGAGUCCCGAGUGAGAAAGGGGGGGAUCUGGGGACCGCGCGGUCGCAGAGGAGGCUAGGUCGGAUUAGCUAGUUGGUGGGGUAAAGGCAUACCAAGGCGACGAUCUGUAACUGGUCUGAGAGGAUGAUCAGACACACUGGAACUGAGACACGGUCCAGACUCCUACGGGAGGCAGCAGUGGGGAAUUUUGGACAAUGGGCGCAAGCCUGAUCCAGCCAUGCCGCGUGUGUGAAGAAGGUCUUCGGAUUGUAAAGUACUUUUAUUUGGGACGAAGAGCUGUAAGUUAAUACCUUGCUGUUUUGACGUUACCAAAAGAAUAAGCACCGGCUAACUUCGUG